CUGGGCACUCUAAAGGGACUGCCGGUGUUAAACCGGAGGAAGGUGGGGAUGACGGUCAAGUCCUCAUGGCCUUUAUGACCAGGGCUACACACGUACUACAAUGGCCGAUACAGAGGGCAGCUACCUGGUGACAGGAUGCAAAUCUACCAAAGUUGGUCUCAGGUUCGGAUCGGAGUCUGCCAACCCGACUCCGUGAAGUUGGAUUCGCUAGUAAUCGCGCAUCAGCCAUGGCGCGGUGAAUACGUUCCCGGGCCUU
rnacentral:rRNA from 1 species